GCCAACGUCCAUACCACGUUGAACACACCGGUUCUCGUCCGAUCACCGAAGUUAAGCAACGUCGGGCGCGGUCAGUACUUGGAUGGGUGACCGCCUGGGAACACCGCGUGCCGUUUGCUCUU
rnacentral:rRNA from 1 species